UCGGUGGCUUCCCGCGCGCGGGGGUCGCCGCCAUUUCCCCAGCGCCCCGCGCCGCCCCGCUUCCUCGAAGCCACUGCGCGCGCGGGCUGCGCGGUGGGCGUCUCGCCCCGGUGACGCGCGGAGAGACCGGGAGACGGGCGGUUGGAGCUCAGGAGGAUGGACUGAGGCAAGUUCUGGAGGAGAUGAAAGCCUUAGACGAGCAAAACCUACCUGAUGUGAAUAACGCAAAGUCAGGAGGACGGGGUGAUUUGGUCCCAGCCAUCAAGUUUCGACACUGUUCUUUGCUAAGAAGUCAGCGCUGCGCCGGAGCCUGCCUGUGGACUGGUUCAAUGGUUACAAAAUGUCCCUUGCUACCUACAUGAGGUCAUUGGCAGGAGACCAAGGUUUGGACAUCACACAGGAUGUGAAACCUCCAAAAAGCCUAUAUAUAGAAGUGCGGUGUCUAAAAGACUACGGAGAAUUUGAAUUUGAAGAUGAUUCUACAUGCAAAGUUUUCAUCUUGGAGAGUUCGGAUUCCAAGACUUUAAUUCUGAGUUCCAUCUGUUGAGAUCCUGCUUUUAUCUAAAGCAUAUUGAAAAAGAUAAUAACUCCUAUUGAACACUUGAUUUUUCUGCAUCCAGUGCAGACAUUUUGAAAAUGCAGUUUCCAGCUCUGCUGGAAGAUCAUCACUCUUCAGGAAUACAACAAUACCAAUUGGUAAUGAAGAAAGUGGACUGAGCACAGCCUAACUCAAACCCAGGAUCAAAUAAAUAUCUAUAUUGUAGAAUGUAGGACCAGGAAUUAUUAAGAGAAUCAAGAAAGAUGUUCACACCACCAAGAAUCACAGAACAUAUUCUUCACUGUCAUCUUUGUCACACAAUGUUUCUACUUGAUUUUACACUCUUUUAUUGUUCUACAAUAAUGUUUUUCUAUCUUUCCUGCAUAAAAUGACUAUAAGUCACCUCUUCGUAGACCGUCUCUUACUCCAUCCCCUCAUCUUAAUGUCCCAGGGUUUUAAAGAAGCUUGAGGGAUGGAUACUGUAUUCAGUUAUCUAGGGCUAGUUUAAUAAAUGCCUCCCAAAAGGAGACUGUGAGAAUAAGACUCUGGGUAUGCUGGGUCCCUCUCUGGGGUGAGUGUGGGUCUCUCGAGGUCUCUGUGGGGUUUUUGGGGGCCCUGUGCUGGAUCAGUGUGGGUGUAUGGGGAGUCUCUCUCUGGGGUGAGUGUGGGUCUGACCCACUCCUCCUGGGGGCCCUGUGCUGGAUCAGUGUAGGUGUAUGGGGGGGUGUCUCUCUGGGGUGAGUGUGGGUCUGUCGAGGGCUCUGUGGGGUUAUUGGGGGCCCUGUGCAGCAGCAGUGCUGGGUCACUGUGAGUAUAUGGGGGGUCCCAGUCUGGGGUGAGUGUGGUUCUGUCGAGGUCUCUGUGGGGUUAUUGGGGGCCCUGGGCAGCAGCAGUGCUGGAUCACUGUGAGUAUAUGGGGGGUCUCUCUCUGGGGUGAGUGUGGGUCUGACCCACUCUUCAUGGGAGCCCUGUGCUGGAUCAGUGUGUUUUGUAUAUGGGGGGUCCCUCUCUGGGGUGAGUGUGGGUCUGUCUAGAUUUCAUGUGGGGUUAUUGGGGGCCCUGUGCAGCAGCAGUGCUGGGUCACUGUGGGUGUAUGGGGGGUCUCUCUAUGGGGUGAGUGUGGGUCUGACCCACUCUUCAUGGGGGCCCUGUGCUGGAUCAGUGUGGGUGUAUGGGGGGGGUCCCUCUCUGGGGUGAGUGUGGGUCUGUCGAGGUCUCUGUGGGGAUAUUGGGGGCCCUGUGCUGGAUCAGUGUGGGUGUAGGGAGUGUCCCUCUCUGGGGUGAGUGUGGGUCUGUCGAGGUCUCUGUGGGGUUAUUGGGGGCCCUGUGCUGGAUCAGUGUGGGUGUAUGGGGAGUCUCUCUCUGGGGUGAGUGUGGGUCUGACCCACUCCUCAUGGGGGCCCUGUGCUGGAUCAGUGUAGGUGUAUGGGGGGUCCCUCUCUGAGGUGAGUGUGGGUCUGUCGAGGUCUCGUGGGGUUAUUGGGGGCCCUGUGCUGGAACAGUGUGGGUGUAGGGGGUGUCCCUCUCUGGGGUGAGUGUGGGUCUGUCGAGGUUUCAUGUGGGGUUAUUGGGGGCCCUGUGCAGCAGCAGUGCUGGGUCACUGUGGGUGUAUGGGGGGUCUCUCUCUGGGGUGAGUGUGGGUCUGACCCACUCCUCAUGGGGGCCCUGUGCUGGAUCAGUGUAGGUGUAUGGGGGGUGUCUCUCUGGGGUGAGUGUGGGUCUGUCGAGGUCUCUGUGGGGUUAUUGGGGGCCCUGUGCAGCAGCAGUGCUGGGUCACUGUGGGUAUAUGGAGGGUCCCUCUCUGGGGUGAGUGCAGGUCUGUCGAGGGCUCUGUGGGGUUACUGGGGGCCCUGUGCAGCAGCAGUGCUGGGUCACUGUGAGUAUAUGGGGGGUCUCUCUCUGGGGUGAGUGUGGGUCUGACCCACUCCUCAUGGGGGCCCUGUGCUGGAUCAGUGUAGGUGUAUGGGGGGUCCCUCUCUGAGGUGAGUGUGGGUCUGUCGAGGUCUCGUGGGGUUAUUGGGGGCCCUGUGCUGGAACAGUGUGGGUGUAGGGGGUGUCCCUCUCUGGGGUGAGUGUGGGUCUGUCGAGGUUUCAUGUGGGGUUAUUGGGGGCCCUGUGCAGCAGCAGUGCUGGGUCACUGUGGGUGUAUGGGGGGUCUCUCUCUGGGGUGAGUGUGGGUCUGACCCACUCCUCAUGGGGGCCCUGUGCUGGAUCAGUGUAGGUGUAUGGGGGGUGUCUCUCUGGGGUGAGUGUGGGUCUGUCGAGGUCUCUGUGGGGUUAUUGGGGGCCCUGUGCAGCAGCAGUGCUGGGUCACUGUGGGUAUAUGGAGGGUCCCUCUCUGGGGUGAGUGCAGGUCUGUCGAGGGCUCUGUGGGGUUACUGGGGGCCCUGUGCAGCAGCAGUGCUGGGUCACUGUGAGUAUAUGGGGGGUCCCAGUCUGGCGUGAGUGUGGUUCUGUCGAGGUCUCUGUGGGGUUAUUGGGGGCCCUGGGCAGCAGCAGUGCUGGAUCACUGUGAGUAUAUGGGGGGUCUCUCUCUGGGGUGAGUGUGGGUCUGACCCACU